AUUGAACGCUGGCGGCAGGCCUAACACAUGCAAGUCGAGCGGAUGAGAGGAGCUUGCUCCUUGAUUCAGCGGCGGACGGGUGAGUAAUACCUAGGAAUCUGCCUGGUAGUGGGGGACAACGUUUCGAAAGGAACGCUAAUACCGCAUACGUCCUACGGGAGAAAGCAGGGGACCUUCGGGCCUUGCGCUAUCAGAUGAGCCUAGGUCGGAUUAGCUAGUAGGUGGGGUAAUGGCCCACCUAGGCGACGAUCCGUAACUGGUCUGAGAGGAUGAUCAGUCACACUGGAACUGAGACACGGACCAGACUCCUACGGGAGGCAGCAGUGGGGAAUAUUGGACAAUGGGCGAAAGCCUGAUCCAGCCAUGCCGCGUGUGUGAAGAAGGUCUUCGGAUUGUAAAGCACUUUAAGUUGGGAGGAAGGGCAGUUAGUUAAUACCUGACUGUUUUGACGUUACCAACAGAAUAAGCACCGGCCAACUUCGUGCCAGCCGCCGCGGUAA
rnacentral:rRNA from 1 species